rnacentral:tRNA from 1 species
GGCUUUAAAGCUCAGUUGGUUAGAGUGUCACACCGAUAUCGCAAGGUCACAGAAUCAAACCCUGUUGAAGUCC